rnacentral:rRNA from 1 species
UUGUCCUACGGGGCGCAGCAGUGGGGAAUAUUGGGCAAUGGGCGCAAGCCUGACCCAGCAACGCCGCGUGAAGGAAGAAGGCUCUCGGGUUGUAAACUUCUUUUAUCAGGGACGAAGCAAGUGACGGUACCUGAUGAAUAAGCCACGGCUAACUACGUGCCAGCAGCCGCGGUAAUACGUAGGUGGCAAGCGUUAUCCGGAUUUACUGGGUGUAAAGGGCGUGUAGGCGGGAAAGCAAGUCAGAUGUGAAAACCGUGGGCUCAACCUGUGGCCUGCAUUUGAAACUGUUUUUCUUGAGUACUGGG